rnacentral:lncRNA from 1 species
UAUUGUCAACUACAAAUUAGAAAAAAAAAAUAAUAAAAGUUCCAAAUCUUACGUACACAAACACUCAAGUGUAUGUACUUUCCAAUUUUAAAAUACUAAAGCCCAUAUAUCCUUUAGCAUGCUUGUAUGUUUGUAUAAUUUAUUUGCCAUACUUUACAAGACUUUAAGAACAUGUCAUCAUAUCCUACUCUAGACCCUAUGUAGUUAAAUCAUGGGAUAGAUUUACCAUACUUACAUCCCAUAUAUUAUCUAAUAUGUAAACCCUCUUCCACUUUUCUUAUGGGUUCAGGCCCCAUUCGACUUCCACCUUCUUGAAUUUAUGGUUUCAUUUCUUGCACAAUGUUGUGUUAGAACAACUAUCUAAUAAACCCAUUUCCCCAUUUAAUUCAAGCAAACCACUAACAUUUCAACCUACAACUACUGCCCUAUUUCUUUCACCUCCCACCAUCAAGUAGAACUUUCAAAUUCCAAACACACACCUCUACUUUAUCUCACUCAACCCUGGUCACCGGAGUGAAUUCCGGCUGGCACCGAUCGUCGCUCGUUCGACGGCAACCGCACACACUCACUCUAACCUCUACCACUCCCGCACUCCCCCCCUCUCUUUCUGCGCAAACGGCCGACCACCACCGCAGGGGUGGUGGCGCACAACCAAUAGCAGCAUCAGGUGCAUUUUUUUUUGUGGCGUAGGAGGUGGUGUGGUGGGGUUUGGGUGGGGACCAAGGCGGCGGUGGUGUAUUGUUUCUGACAAGGUGACCGGAAGAGAUGACGGUGGUUACGGGUUCCAGCGACACUCACGAAACCAACCCAUCCACUGAAAUCUAACAACAUCAUACUGUCGAGAGAGGAUCUCGGAAUUCUACUGCUGUACGGACGCAACCGUUUACAACCAGUUUCGGAUCACAUGGUUCAACGGGUUCGAAGUUCAGCCAACUCGGUUCGAUGUCGGGUCAACUUCAAGGUGCUUCGGGUUGGUUUGGUUUGAGAUGAUUCAAAGUCAGGAGGUGAGGUUCAGAAUGGAAGUUAGUGUUGGUAGUUUUACCGUUAUGAUUCGAGUUUUUAUUUCGGAGCUCCGCUCGGUUUUUGGUUCACACGGUUCGGGCUUCGGUUCAACUCGGUUUGACUCGAUCAAACCGAGUCAACUCAGUCAACGACUCGGUCAACACUCGGUCAACAGCGGUCAACCUUAGUCAAAACAAGUCAACUCUGGUCAACCAGUCAACUCAACUGUAGGGUCGACUAGUCAAACGAAGAUCCGGUAAAGUUUUAACAACGUGAAAUGUCGAUAAUUAGUUGUAGAUUUUAGAUUUUUAGUAAGUUUACGCGAACCGAGCUCGACCCGACUAACAAAUGCCAAUUCACAUUCUUGGAACGACACUAUGGAAUACACACUUAGCUAGCUUUGCACAGGAAUGUCAAGGUUGCAUUCUCAAAACUAUGGAAUGGUUGGAAUAGGAGAACCCAUGGGAAUUCGGGUACUUAGUGGCGUUCAUUUUCUAGGAGUCUUAGCUUAUUUGCUUCCGCUGUGCAAUGAAGAUACCAGUCCAGUCACGCCAG